UAUUUAAAAUACCAAUUUCUGUGUAACAAAAAUUGAUCACAAAAUGAAUAAGUGCACACAGCUAGCUCUUUUGUUGUUGGUAUGCUGCAUUCUUACGCUGACAACAACUGUCGAGUGUGCCCAAACACAGGGCGAAAAUUUGGCAAGAAGACAUCGUUCUAGUCGCACCUGGAAUGGGCUAGUAAAACGUGAUCUCCGACGUCAAGAAGAACUGGAAACGCUUGAUGAUAUCGUCGACUUAUUUGAAUAGCAGAAACACAUUUUGUGCGUGGAAAUGGUUGUAAAUCGAAAUGGUUCUUAUAGAUCGGAUUCACUGUGCUGAUGCUGAAUAAACUAUUCCUACAAAAAAAAUUUGGGGGAAAUUUUAUUUCAAUAUCCAUUUUACAUAAAACAAACAUAUAACGUAGCAUGGAUAUUAGUUAUUUCAAAUGUAGUAUAUUCUUAACAAAAUAUAAAUAAACUCAUAUGAUAUAUUAUUUUAGUUGUUUACUGUCGUUUAUACUUGUUUUGAAUGUUUGUUUCAAAUUAUUGGAAAAACAGAUACAAUGUUUGUAUUAUAAAGUUCUGCUCUGACUAUAGACUACUAACUACAUUGUUUCCUUAAUAUUCUUUAACUUUGAAGUGUUGUAAAUUAUAAAAAUGUACACGACACAUCAGUACUCUGUGAUUUUGUAAAUAUU